AGAGUUAUGGUGUAGUUGGUUAUCACGUUUGCUUUACACGCAAAAGGUCCUGGGUUCGAACCCCAGUAGCUCUA